rnacentral:rRNA from 1 species
CCAAUAGCGUAUAUUAAAGUUGUUGCAGUUAAAAAGCUCGUAGUUGAAUUUCGGGAUCAAUACGUCGGUCAUGCCUCUGGUAUGUACUGGUGUUAUUGGUUUCUCCUUUCUGAGGAGCCAUGAUGUCAUUAAUUUGGUGUCGUGGGGAAUCAGGACUGUUACUUUGAAAAAAUUAGAGUGUUUAAAGCAGGCACGCGCUUGAAUACAUUAGCAUGGAAUAAUGAAAUAGGACGUUCGAUUCUAUUUUGUUGGUUUCUAGGAUCAACGUAAUGAUUAAUAGGGAUAGUUGGGGGCAUUAGUAUUCAAUUGUCAGAGGUGAAAUUCUUGGAUUUAUUGAAGACUAACUACUGCGAAAGCAUUUGCCAAGGAUGUUUUCAUUAAUCAAGAACGAAAGUUAGGGGAUCGAAGACGAUCAGAUACCGUCGUAGUCUUAACCAUAAACUAUGCCGACUAGGGAUCGGAUGAUGUUAAUUUUUUAAUGACUCAUUCGGCGCCUUACG